UACAGAGGUCCCGAGCGUUGUUCGGAUUCAUUGGGCGUAAAGGGUGCGUAGGUGGCGCCGUAAGUCAGGUGUGAAAUUUCGGAGCUUAACUCCGAAACUGCAUUUGAUACUGGCGUGCUUGAGGACUGGAGAGGAGACUGGAAUUCAUGGUGUAGCAGUGAAAUGCGUAGAGAUCAUGAGGAAGACCAGUGGCGAAGGCGGGUCUCUGGACAGUUCCUGACACUGAGGCACGAAGGCCAGGGGAGCAAACGGG
rnacentral:rRNA from 1 species